GAUGAACGCUGGCGGCGUGCCUAAUACAUGCAAGUCGAGCGAACGGACGAGAAGCUUGCUUCUCUGAUGUUAGCGGCGGACGGGUGAGUAACACGUGGAUAACCUACCUAUAAGACUGGGAUAACUUCGGGAAACCGGAGCUAAUACCGGAUGAUAUUUUGAACCGCAUGGUUCAAAAGUGAAAGACGGUCUUGCUGUCACUUAUAGAUGGAUCCGCGCUGCAUUAGCUAGUUGGUAAGGUAACGGCUUACCAAGGCAACGAUGCAUAGCCGACCUGAGAGAGUGAUCGGCCACACUGGAACGGGGACAGGGUCAAGACGCCUAAGGGAGGCAGCAGUAGGGAAUCUGCCGCAAUGGGCGAAAGCCUGACGGAGCAACGCCGCGUGAGUGAUGAAGGUCUUCGGAUCGUAAAACUCUGUUAUUAGGGAAGAACAUAUGUGUAAGUAACUGUGCACAGCGUGACGGUACCUAAUCAGAAAGCCACGGCUAACUACGUG
rnacentral:rRNA from 1 species